UGCUGUGCAGGAGAUCCUAUGUCACAAU
rnacentral:piRNA from 1 species